UCUCCGUUGGUGAACCAGCGGAAGGAUCAUUACUGAGGCUUGAACACAUUAUUCCACGGCGAACCAUAUCAAACUCUUCAAAUGGCGGCGUCACGCUACGGGUACGGCUCAGUUCCGGGAUCAGCUUGCCGGCCGAGGGACCCACCAAAAACCUUCUUUAGUCCCCUCGCGGCAGUUAUUUUUAAAACUAUAACUAACAACAAAAAAUGAAUUAAAUCUUGCAACAACGGAUCACGUAGCUCUGCCAUCGAUGAAGAACGCAGAAGCUCGGAACAGCAC
rnacentral:misc_RNA from 1 species